CACUCCUGCGGGAGGCAGCAGUGGGGAAUAUUGGACAAUGGGCGCAAGCCUGAUCCAGCCAUGCCGCGUGAGUGAUGAAGGCCCUAGGGUUGUAAAGCUCUUUCACCGGUGAAGAUAAUGACGGUAACCGGAGAAGAAGCCCCGGCUAACUUCGUGCCAGCAGCCGCGGUAAUACGAAGGGGGCUAGCGUUGUUCGGAUUUACUGGGCGUAAAGCGCACGUAGGCGGACUAUUAAGUCAGGGGUGAAAUCCCGGGGCUCAACCCCGGAACUGCCUUUGAUACUGGUAGUCUUGAGUUCGAGAGAGGUGAGUGGAAUUCCGAGUGUAGAGGGGAAAUUCGUAGAUAUUCGGAGGAACACCAGUGGCGAAGGCGGCUCACUGGCUCGAUACUGACGCUGAGGUGCGAAAGCGGGGGGAGCAAACAGGAUUAGAAACCCCGGUAGUCCCAU
rnacentral:rRNA from 1 species